rnacentral:rRNA from 1 species
CAUGGUGGCUUCUGCAUAGGUGAACACCUCUUCCCAUUCCGAACAGAGUCGUUAAGCCCUAUCGCACUAAUGGUACUGCAAUAAAAUGCGGGAGAGUAGGUCGCCGCCAGUG